rnacentral:rRNA from 1 species
GAUGAACGCUGGCGGCGUGCCUAACACAUGCAAGUCGAGCGAGAAAUACAUUAUGAAGUUUUCGGAUGAAUUAAAGUAUGGACAGCGGCGGACGGGUGAGUAACGCGUAGGCAACCUGCCCUUUGCAGAGGGAUAGCCUCGGGAAACCGGGAUUAAAACCUCAUAACACAAGAAAGAGACAUCUCUUUUUUGUCAAAGAUUUAUCGGCAAAGGAUGGGCCUGCGUCUGAUUAGUUAGUUGGUGAGGUAACGGCUCACCAAGGCGACGAUCAGUAGCCGACCUGAGAGGGUAAUCGGCCACAUUGGAACUGAGACACGGUCCAAACUCCUACGGGAGGCAGCAGUGGGGAAUAUUGCACAAUGGGCGAAAGCCUGAUGCAGCAACGCCGCGUGAGCGAGGAAGGCCUUUGGGUCGUAAAGCUCUGUCGAUGGGGAAGAAACAAAUGACGGUACCCAUUGAGAAAGCCCCGGCUAACUACGUGCCAGCAGCCGCGGUAAUACGUAGGGGGCGAGCGUUAUCCGGAAUUAUUGGGCGUAAAGAGUGCGUAGGUGGCUAAUUAAGCGAUUGGUGAAAGGCUAUGGCUCAACCAUAGUAAGCCUGUCGAACUGAAUGGCUUGAGUGCAGGAGAGGAAAGCGGAAUUCCUAGUGUAGCGGUGAAAUGCGUAGAUAUUAGGAGGAACACCAGUGGCGAAGGCGGCUUUCUGGACUGUAACUGACACUGAGGCACGAAAGCGUGGGUAGCAAACAGGAUUAGAUACCCUGGUAGUCCACGCCGUAAACGAUGAUUACUAGGUGUGGGGGGACUGACCCCUUCCGUGCCGCAGUUAACACAAUAAGUAAUCCACCUGGGGAGUACGACCGCAAGGUUG